rnacentral:rRNA from 1 species
GGGCGCAAGCCUGAUGCAGCCAUGCCGCGUGUGUGAAGAAGGCCUUCGGGUUGUAAAGCACUUUCAGUCGUGAGGAAGGUGGUGUAGUUAAUAGCUGCAUUAUUUGACGUUAGCGACAGAAGAAGCACCGGCUAACUCCGUGCCAGCAGCCGCGGUAAUACGGAGGGUGCGAGCGUUAAUCGGAAUUACUGGGCGUAAAGCGCAUGCAGGUGGUUUGUUAAGUCAGAUGUGAAAGCCCGGGGCUCAACCUCGGAAUAGCAUUUGAAACUGGCAGACUAGAGUACUGUAGAGGGGGGUAGAAUUUCAGGUGUAGCGGUGAAAUGCGUAGAGAUCUGAAGGAAUACCGGUGGCGAAGGCGGCCCCCUGGACAGAUACUGACACUCAGAUGCGAAAGCGUGGGGAGCAAACAGGAUUAGAUACCCUGGUAGUCCACGCCGUAAACGAUGUCUACUUGGAGGUUGUGGCCUUGAGCCGUGGCUUUCGGAGCUAACGCGUUAAGUAGACCGCCUGG